rnacentral:rRNA from 1 species
GACGAACGCUGGCGGCGUGCUUAACACAUGCCAGUCGAACGGAAAGGCCCUGCUUUUGUGGGGUGCUCGAGUGGCGAACGGGUGAGUAACACGUGAGUAACCUGCCCUUGACUUUGGGAUAACUUCAGGAAACUGGGGCUAAUACCGGAUAGGAGCUCCUGCUGCAUGGUGGGGGUUGGAAAGUUUCGGCGGUUGGGGAUGGACUCGCGGCUUAUCAGCUUGUUGGUGGGGUAGUGGCUUACCAAGGCUUUGACGGGUAGCCGGCCUGAGAGGGGGACCGGCCACAUUGGGACUGCGAUACGGCCCAGACUCCUACGGGAGGCAGCAGUGGGGAAUAUUGCACAAUGGGCGGAAGCCUGAUGCAGCAACGCCGCGUGCGGGAUGACGGCCUUCGGGUUGUAAACCGCUUUCGCCUGUGACGAAGCGUGAGUGACGGUAAUGGGUAAAGAAGCACCGGCUAACUACGUG